GAUGAACGCUGGCGGCGUGCCUAAUACAUGCAAGUCGAGCGAACAGAUGAGGAGCUUGCUCCUCUGACGUUAGCGGCGGACGGGUGAGUAACACGUGGAUAACCUACCUAUAAGACUGGGAUAACUUCGGGAAACCGGAGCUAAUACCGGAUAAUAUAUUGAACCGCAUGGUUCAAUAGUGAAAGACGGUUUUGCUGUCACUUAUAGAUGGAUCCGCGCCGCAUUAGCUAGUUGGUAAGGUAACGGCUUACCAAGGCGACGAUGCGUAGCCGACCUGAGAGGGUGAUCGGCCACACUGGAACUGAGACACGGUCCAGACUCCUGCGGGAGGCAGCAGUAGGGAAUCUUCCGCAAUGGGCGAAAGCCUGACGGAGCAACGCCGCGUGAGUGAUGAAGGUCUUCGGAUCGUAAAACUCUGUUAUUAGGGAAGAACAAAUGUGUAAGUAACUAUGCACGUCUUGACGGUACCUAAUCAGAAAGCCACGGCUAACUACGUG
rnacentral:rRNA from 1 species